GUUAAACUGUUUUAACAGAGCAAUAUAUAUAAACUUGUAAAAGAAUAAAACAAAAUGUAGACUUGUAAAACAAUAAAAUAAAUUGUGAGGACAGAUAAGAACCCACCCUGGUAGAUUUAAUUAAAGAAACAAAGUAGGAAAGGGAAAAGUAAGAUCAUAUGGAGAAUGUCACUUCAAAAAGUAUUCGUAAAUGACAUUUUCAAUCAUCUGAUAGCCUGUUUUAAUUGUGCUGAGGUUCUCCACUUUCCUGAAUGGAGUGAAAUAAACAAACACGAAUUAAAAGUUGAAGAGGAGUGUAAAACAACAUAUAGGUGGUGCAGAGGAGAGAAGAAAAACAAGGCAAUAAAGCAAAAAGACAAGAAAAAUAAAAGUAAGGAAUGC
rnacentral:lncRNA from 1 species